AGGUCCUCACCGCGUAUGGACAAUACGGCUGUCGGGACCAACCCAACUGAUCUGGUAGACAAGCACGAACAACAAAGGGAAUCCGAGGCGGAGGAACAUGAACACUAUCACAGGUCCCCCGAAGGAGUGACUGCUGAUGAUGUGCCUUCUGACGUUGGCCAACAACCCCAACUUUCAAGGUUUGAUGUUGGUCCGAACUCUACAAACGGUGUCAACCCAAUGGACCAUAUACAAAC